rnacentral:rRNA from 1 species
GACAGAGGGUGCAAACGUUUGUUCGGAAUUACUGGGCGUAAAGCGCGUGUAGGCGGCUUGGCAAGUCGGGUGUGAAAGCCCUGGGCUUAACCUAGGAAGUGCACUCGAAACUGCCGAGCUUGAGUUCUGGAGAGGAAGGCGGAAUUCUCGGUGUAGAGGUGAAAUUCGUAGAUAUCGAGAGGAACACCGGUGGCGAAGGCGGCCUCUGGGACAGCAACUGACGCUGAGACGCGAAAGCGUGGGGAGCAAACAGGAUUGAAGAU